UGAAACCGACUGGGAGAGUGUGCCGAUUCUGGGCACCGCCGAAGGCGCAACACCCGUAACCGCUCAGGCUCAGGAACCAAUCGGAACAG
rnacentral:ncRNA from 2 species